rnacentral:rRNA from 1 species
AUUGAACGCUGGCGGCAGGCCUAACACAUGCAAGUCGAACGGCAGCACAGAAGAGCUUGCUCUUUGGGUGGCGAGUGGCGGACGGGUGAGUAAUGUCUGGGAAACUGCCCGAUGGUGGGGGAUAACUACUGGAAACGGUAGCUAAUACCGCAUAACGUCGCAAGACCAAAGUGGGGGACCUUCGGGCCUCACACCAUCGGAUGUGCCCAGAUGGGAUUAGCUAGUAGAUGGGGUAAUGGCUCACCUAGGCGACGAUCCCUAGCUGGUCUGGGAGGAUGACCAGCCACACUGGAACUGAGACAUGGUCCAGACUCCUACGGGAGGCAGCAGUGGGGAAUAUUGCACAAUGGGCGCAAGCCUGAUGCAGCCAUGCCGCGUGUAUGAAGAAGGCCUUCGGGUUGUAAAGUACUUUCAGCGGGGAGGAAGGCGGUGAGGUUAAUAACCUCGCCGAUUGACGUUACCCGCAGAAGAAGCACCGGCUAACUCCGUGCCAGCCGCCGCGGUAA